GAGAAAAGCAGCUUUCAGCCGGAUCCAGGCCGCGGAUGUCCCGCAGCGCCUCAGCCUGGUGGCCCUGUGGUCCGGAUAGGACGGGCUCCAGGCUCAGAGGAGGCAACUGACACACAGACUUGCAGCCUUUUUUCCAGCGACACCCACAUACGCUUUCCAGGUAUGAAAUUCCAUGAUACAAGCAGAAUCCAAGGACCUCGACCUGGGUGGAAGCUCACAAGUUUAGCUAAUCUGUCUCCUCACCAUAUGAUGAAGAUAUUGUGAUCCCAUUUUGCAGAUAUGACAGCUGGGGUCCCAGAGAGGAUACGCAGUGUUGUGUGACUGCUGAGCUCUCGAAGGCAUUUGUAUGAACUCACGCUGACCAUGGGUGUUUUCCCUGUGCCUUCAGCUCCGGAGCUGUGUGGACAGGGCAUGUACCGCUGUGGCUCAAGCAGUGUGACCCAGAGGACGUGCCGGGUUCAAAAGGCGUUUCUCCUAUCUGCUGUGUUUGGGCUUUACUGAAUCUCUACUGCACUCUGAAGAUUUGAAGGCUUAUUGAUAACUGUGUGAUUUCCACAAUUCUGUACUCAAAUGUUGGCAUCAAGUAUUGUAGGGUUCCAUUCUACAGAAAGGGGAAGCAAGGCUGCCAGAGGCUGGAUGCCUUGAACAAGGGGGUGUGGAUCCACUUCCUGCAGGAAGCUGCCCAGUUUAAAGGUCUGGAGCCAUCUAAUCUGCCUGCUAGCAGCCACCCGAUGUCCUGGGAGCCUCUACCUGCAAAUAACUUGAAGGACAAGAGUGACAACUGCCGUGUGCUGUGCACCAUCUACUUUCAGCUGGAAGUGUCCAUCCCGUUUCAUCUCUUCAUUCCUGUGGACGAUCCUUGGGCACAGGGUUAAUCCAGGAGGAGGAUUUAGUAACAAGGUUGCCUGGCCUCUGGGCCUGGGCGGGAGAGCUGUUGUUCCAGCCCUGUCCCUCAGCCACACUGAUCAGAGUGGGGCUCCGAGCUUCAUUUGGGAGACAGAGCAGCAGUCACCCUGAAUCUCACCCUGCAGACUCUGGGGGUUCAGAGGUUGGGAGGGCAGAGCUGCAGGCCCAGGCAGCAAGAGUAGGUGGAGACUUCGCAGCAGCUGCAGCAAAAGGGAAGGACUGGCCGAGAGUGCUGCACUCUGUGCUCCCAGACAUCUGGAGGAAACUUUGGGCAUGCGCAGGACCUCAAGCCUGGCAGCCAGCUGUGAAGGCCGGUGCCCAUGAGACACUCAGCUCAUGUCAUUUCUCCCAUCCGACAGGGGAGUCCACCUGCCCAGCCCCACCUGGAGUCCUUUCACUUCGCCUUGCAGCAGGAAAGUGCCCAGAGAUGUUAGCCAAGGCCACAGUUGGCCAUUGCUGCCCUAGAGGCUUAUACGUGGGUCUUGGACUCCAGGGACACCGGUGAGGUCACUGGGCCUCAGAGGCUGGAGUUGGGGGCACCAGUGUGCCCCAUGGUGAUGUCUGAAGAACGCAUCCCAUCCCAUGAGUCCUUUCGCAGGGCAGGCGCUGGGCUCUGAAAGCUGCCCUCACAAAGAUGCCUGCAGCUCCCACUCUUUCCAGAGGAGCCAUCAGCCCUCGGCUAGGAGGGCAAAGGUCACUGUGCUGAGAGAAUGACCUCUUUCUCUCAGAAAGCUGCUGCUUUCAGAGCUGUGGCCACCCCAGCCUGGCCAUCACGCAGGCCUGCACCAAGAAAUAAAAGGUUCUCACAGCCGGGUAGGCGCUGUGACACAGUUUAAUUUGCUGUAA
rnacentral:lncRNA from 1 species